UGGGGAAUUUUGCACAAUGGGCGAAAGCCUGAUGCAGCAACGCCGCGUGUGUGAUGAAGGUUUUCGGAUUGUAAAGCACUUUCGACCGGGAAGAAACACCUGGGGUUAAUACCCCCGGGCCUGACGGUACCGGGAGAAGAAGCACCGGCUAACUCUGUGCCAGCAGCCGCGGUAAUACAGAGGGUGCGAGCGUUGUUCGGAAUUAUUGGGCGUAAAGCGCGUGUAGGCGGCUUGGCAAGUCGGGUGUGAAAGCCCUCAGCUCAACUGAGGAAGUGCGCCCGAAACUGCUUUGCUUGAGUACUGGAGAGGGUCGCGGAAUUCCCGAAGUAGAGGUGAAAUUCGUAGAUAUCGGGAGGAACACCGGUGGCGAAGGCGGCGACCUGGACAGUAACUGACGCUGAGACGCGAAAGCGUGGGGAGCAAACAG
rnacentral:rRNA from 1 species